ensembl:lncRNA
AUUUUUCUCAUUUAUAACAUUUAUAUUUUUAAUUUUAUUCAACUUUUUUCAACAAAAAUUUCCCAUGUAUUUCAAUGGAGAGACCCUUCAAAUUCUCAUUCAACUCACUCCUCUUUAAACUGUAUCUACUUCAACAUACGUUGACAUAGAGCUACCAUUCAAACUUUAAAACGAAGACAAGACAUUCAACUAUUCAACUUGUAUUUAUCUUUGCAAUAUCUGUUAUACUUUUUCUUCAGUUCCAGUUUAAGUUUCAUGAUGUUUUUUCAGCCGUUUCAGAGUUUAUAAUGGGUGUGUAUGGGACGGAAUGUUGGGGCUAGAGUGAGACAGCUGAACUGCUAGAGUGAGAGGAGCGACAAAAUUAAUCUUAAAAUCUUUUUUAAAACUGCUGCUGUGUCCACAGCGUUUGAUCUACAGGUAUGAUUUUACCCUCAAAACGUAGCCAUCGCUGUCCUCUUUCAUCCAAUGUGUUUACUAUUGUACUAGGUGUUAUGGUUCUUUCAUAAAUGUCACCAAAGCACAGCCUCCUC